UGAAACAUCGAGUGAAAUGCAUUGUUUUGAGUCAAUACCUGAAAGAGUCCAAAGAUUGUGCUGUUUGGUAGCCCACAAGGGUUGCCUCACCUCUAGGACCAAUGUAGCAUGCCCAUAGCUCACUAACCCUACAUCUCUGGAACGUGGGAGAAAGCAAAGCACCAGAAUCAACGAAAGACCGCCCAACUUGGUUAUUCAACUGAGUGCAAAAGACAACGAGCUGCGGAAAUGCAAAAAGAAGAAACAAUAAUAUAAAUAAAUAGGCAAUAAAUGUCGAGAACAUGAGAUGAAGAGUCCUUGAAAAUGAGUUUACUGGUUUUGGGAACAUUUCAAUGGUGGGGCAAGUGAAGUUUGGUGGUAUUAACCCCCUUGUUCAAGAGCCUUAUGGUUGAGGGAGUAACUGAUCCUGAACCUGGUGGUGUGAGUCCUGAGGCUCCUGUACCUUCUUGUUGAUGGCAGAAGUGAGAAGACAGCAUGACCUGGGUGGUUGAGAUCCCUGAGGUGAGGCAACACUUCACUUGCAAAACCGUUGGGGUCGUCUAUUGUACCCGGUGCUCCUGAUGCGGCCUCCUCUACAUUGGUCAGACCCGUCGUACAUCGGGUGAUUGCUUCGUUGAGCACCUGCACUGUAUCUGCCACAAGCAGCACUUCCUGGUGACCAAACAUUUUAAUUCCCAUUCCCAUUCCUGUUCCAUGACUGAUGGUAUGACUUUUGAUUUCUCCUCCUGGGAAACAAAUUCCCUCCCACUCUGACUUUUUACUUCUUCUCACCUGCCAAUUACUUCCUCUUGG